CUAUUUGGGAAGAUAUGUUUUCUUCCCAGCCAGCUCCGUGGGAUGAACCAGGGAAGGAAUAUACAGAGACUGCAACCUGCUACCAAAAUCAAAGGAGGCUUGCUGACCCCUUCCCAGGGACAAGUGGCCACCUCUCUACAAAAGCUCCUCCGGAGUGAUUCCACCCUUCACAGGAUCAGCCACGGGGAGUGAACAUUCCAGGAGCCCCAUCAAUGGACACAGGAGGCCAGGGGCACCGAGAUUGCCCUACUGCCGCUGCUACUACUUCAGUCAAGUAUCUGGAGUCUCACACCAUCAAAGAAAAUUAAAGGGAACAAAAUCAUCACAGACGUCAAUCAGCAAGUCAUCUAAGGACCACUUACAGCACUCCGCGGCUUUGUGAUCAGAUAACUAGUACUAUAGUGUAAUCAGCAAGUAUUUAGUGUGUAAAAUAUGCUUUUGCAUCAUUGUCCUGUAUUAUGUAAAGUCAGUAGCAGUGACCCACCUUACAUAUUGGGGUGAGCGGACUUUUGGUUUAGCAUGUUGAGGGUGUGUGAUUCAUGUAGCGUUGCCUACAAAAAAAACUUAAUUUACAAAUGAAAAAGCUGCAAACAAAAUAGCAUGUUUCCUACCAUAUACAAAGCUUGAGUUGUAUUCCAGAAGGCAAUGGUAGAAUGUUUACACCAGACACACAGCACAGACACUUACACUGUAAGUUCUACUUGUGAACAUGCUGUGAACCAUUAUUUUUAUGUUUAACAAACGCAAUCAAAAUUAGUUAUUCAUUAAAGUCUAUGGGGUAUAUUCAACUGCAGUCGAAAGCUGCCGUCUGUCGGAAAGACAGCAGUUUUUGACUUUUUUAGGUCGGAAGGUGUUUUGACCUAUUCAAUAUACCACAGAAUUAUCAGACAAGUCGGGAAUUCUGACUUGUCGGAAAGCACGUGGAUCGGGGGAAUAGCCUCCGAUCCGCGUGCUUCUGUCGGAAACGUGGCCAAUUCCGACAGGUUUUUGCCCCCUUUCCGACCAUCUCAAUCCGGAUUUAUAAAAAUUUGGAUUGAGAUGAGGGAGCUGAGAGGAGGAGACGGGGAGAGCCGC